UGCCUAUACAUGCAAGUCGAGCGGACAGAUGGGAGCUUGCUCCCUGAUGUUAGCGGCGGACGGGUGAGUAACACGUGGGUAACCUGCCUGUAAGACUGGGAUAACUCCGGGAAACCGGGGCUAAUACCGGAUGGUUGUCUGAACCGCAUGGUUCAGACAUAAAAGGUGGCUUCGGCUACCACUUACAGAUGGACCCGCGGCGCAUUAGCUAGUUGGUGAGGUAACGGCUCACCAAGGCGACGAUGCGUAGCCGACCUGAGAGGGUGAUCGGCCACACUGGGACUGAGACACGGCCCAGACUCCUACGGGAGGCAGCAGUAGGGAAUCUUCCGCAAUGGACGAAAGUCUGACGGAGCAACGCCGCGUGAGUGAUGAAGGUUUUCGGAUCGUAAAGCUCUGUUGUUAGGGAAGAACAAGUGCCGUUCAAAUAGGGCGGCACCUUGACGGUACCUAACCAGAAAGCCACGGCUAACUACGUGCCAGCAGCCGCGGUAAUACGUAGGUGGCAAGCGUUGUCCGGAAUUAUUGGGCGUAAAGGGCUCGCAGGCGGUUUCUUAAGUCUGAUGUGAAAGCCCCCGGCUCAACCGGGGAGGGUCAUUGGAAACUGGGGAACUUGAGUGCAGAAGAGGAGAGUGGAAUUCCACGUGUAGCGGUGAAAUGCGUAGAGAUGUGGAGGAACACCAGUGGCGAAGGCGACUCUCUGGUCUGUAACUGACGCUGAGGAGCGAAAGCGUGGGGAGCGAACAGGAUUAGAUACCCUGGUAGUCCACGCCGUAAACGAUGAGUGCUAAGUGUUAGGGGGUUUCCGCCCCUUAGUGCUGCAGCUAACGCAUUAAGCACUCCGCCUGGGGAGUACGGUCGCAAGACUGAAACUCAAAGGAAUUGACGGGGGCCCGCACAAGCGGUGGAGCAUGUGGUUUAAUUCGAAGCAACGCGAAGAACCUUACCAGGUCUUGACAUCCUCUGACAAUCCUAGAGAUAGGACGUCCCCUUCGGGGGCAGAGUGACAGGUGGUGCAUGGUUGUCGUCAGCUCGUGUCGUGAGAUGUUGGGUUAAGUCCCGCAACGAGCGCAACCCUUGAUCUUAGUUGCCAGCAUUCAGUUGGGCACUCUAAGGUGACUGCCGGUGACAAACCGGAGGAAGGUGGGGAUGACGUCAAAUCAUCAUGCCCCU
rnacentral:rRNA from 1 species